rnacentral:rRNA from 1 species
AGCAGCCGCGGUAAUUCCAGCUCCAAUAGCGUAUAUUAAAGUUGCUGCAGUUAAAAAGCUCGUAGUUGAAUUUCGGGACCAAUCUGCCGGUCGUGCCUCCGGUACGCACUGGUUUUAUUGGUCUCUCCCUUCUGACGAACCAUGAUGUCAUUAAUUUGGUGUCAUGGGGAAUCAGGACUGUUACUUUGAAAAAAUUAGAGUGUUUAUAGCAGGCUCACGCUUGAAUACAUUAGCAUGGAAUAAUGAAAUAGGACGUUUGACCCUAUUUUGUUGGUUUCUAGGAUCGACGUAAUGAUUAAUAGGGAUAGUUGGGGGCAUUAGUAUUCAAUUGUCAGAGGUGAAAUUCUUGGAUUUAUUGAAGACUAACUACUGCGAAAGCAUUUGCCAAGGAUGUUUUCAUUAAUCAAGAACGAAAGUUAGGGGAUCGAAGACGAUCAGAUACCGUCGUAGUCUUAACCAUAAACUAUGCCGACUAGGGAUCGGAUGAUGUUAAUUUUUUAAUGACUCAUUCGGCGCCUUA